UUAAGUGACUAAGCGUACACGGUGGAUGCCUUGGCAGUCAGAGGCGAUGAAAGACGUAGUAACUUGCGAUAAGCCCAGAUUAGGUAGUAACAACCAUUUGAGUCUGGGAUUUCUGAAUGGGGAAACCCACUUACAUAAGUAAGUAUCAUUAACUGAAUACAUAGGUUAAUGAGGCGAACCGGGGGAACUGAAACAUCUAAGUACCCCGAGGAAAAGAAAUCAACCGAGAUUCCGAAAGUAGCGGCGAGCGAAAUUGGACUAGCCCUUAAGCUUUACACGCGUUAGACGAACGGUCUGGAAAGUCCGACGAUACAGGGUGAUAGUCCCGUAGUUGACGACGUGUGUUCAGUGAAAUCGAGUAGGGCGGGACACGUGAUAUCCUGUCUGAAUAUGGGGGGACCAUCCUCCAAGGCUAAAUACUACUGACUGACCGAUAGUGAACCAGUACCGUGAGGGAAAGGCGAAAAGAACCCCUGUGAGGGGAGUGAAAUAGAACCUGAAACCGUGUACGUACAAGCAGUAGGAGCAGGCUUUGUCCUGUGACUGCGUACCUUUUGUAUAAUGGGUCAGCGACUUAUAUUCAGUGGCAAGGUUAACCAUCUAGGGGAGCCGUAGGGAAACCGAGUCUUAACUGGGCGUUCAGUCUCUGGAUAUAGACCCGAAACCAGGUGAUCUAGCCAUGGGCAGGUUGAAGGUUGAGUAACAUCAACUGGAGGACCGAACCGACUAAUGUUGAAAAAUUAGCGGAUGACUUGUGGCUAGGGGUGAAAGGCCAAUCAAACCUGGAGAUAGCUGGUUCUCCCCGAAAGCUAUUUAGGUAGCGCCUCGGACGAAUACUACUGGGGGUAGAGCACUGUUAAGGCUAGGGGGUCAUCCCGACUUACCAACCCUUUGCAAACUCCGAAUACCAGUAAGUACUAUCCGGGAGACACACGGCGGGUGCUAACGUCCGUCGUGGAGAGGGAAACAACCCAGACCGCCAGCUAAGGUCCCAAAUUACUACUAAGUGGGAAACGAUGUGGGAAGGCUCAGACAGCCAGGAUGUUGGCUUAGAAGCAGCCAUCAUUUAAAGAAAGCGUAAUAGCUCACUGGUCGAGUCGGCCUGCGCGGAAGAUGUAACGGGGCUAAGUAGUAAACCGAAGCUGCGGCAAUGUGCUUUUGCACAUUGGGUAGGGGAGCGUUCUGUAAGCGGUUGAAGGUGUGUGGUAACGCAUGCUGGACGUAUCAGAAGUGCGAAUGCUGACAUGAGUAACGAUAAAGGGGGUGAAAAACCUCCUCGCCGGAAGACCAAGGGUUCCUGUCCAACGUUAAUCGGGGCAGGGUAAGUCGACCCCUAAGGCGAGGCCGAAAGGCGUAGUCGAUGGGAAACGGGUUAAUAUUCCCGUACUUCUUACAAUUGCGAUGGGGGGACGGAGAAGGCUAGGUGGGCCUGGCGACGGUUGUCCAGGUUCAAGUGCGUAGGCUUAAGAGUUAGGUAAAUCCGGCUCUUUUUAAGGCUGAGACACGACGUCGAGCACCUACGGGUGUGAAGUCAUUGAUGCCAUGCUUCCAGGAAAAGCCUCUAAGCUUCAGAUUGUAAGGAAUCGUACCCCAAACCGACACAGGUGGUCGGGUAGAGAAUACCAAGGCGCUUGAGAGAACUCGGGUGAAGGAACUAGGCAAAAUGGUACCGUAACUUCGGGAGAAGGUACGCUCUCGACGGUGAAGUCCCUCGCGGAUGGAGCUAUUGAGAGUCGCAGAUACCAGGUGGCUGCAACUGUUUAUUAAAAACACAGCACUGUGCAAAAUCGUAAGAUGACGUAUACGGUGUGACGCCUGCCCGGUGCCGGAAGGUUAAUUGAUGGGGUUAGACUUCGGUCGAAGCUCUUGAUCGAAGCCCCGGUAAACGGCGGCCGUAACUAUAACGGUCCUAAGGUAGCGAAAUUCCUUGUCGGGUAAGUUCCGACCUGCACGAAUGGCGUAAUGAUGGCCACGCUGUCUCCACCCGAGACUCAGUGAAAUUGAAAUCGCUGUGAAGAUGCAGUGUACCCGCGGCUAGACGGAAAGACCCCGUGAACCUUUACUACAGCUUGGCACUGAACAUUGACCCUACAUGUGUAGGAUAGGUGGGAGGCUUUGAAGCAGGUACGCCAGUAUCUGUGGAGCCGUCCUUGAAAUACCACCCUUGUAGUGUUGAUGUUCUAACGUCGACCCCUUAUCGGGGUUGCGGACAGUGCCUGGUGGGUAGUUUGACUGGGGCGGUCUCCUCCCAAAGAGUAACGGAGGAGCACGAAGGUGGGCUAAUCACGGUUGGACAUCGUGAGGUUAGUGCAAUGGCAUAAGCCCGCUUGACUGCGAGAAUGACAAUUCGAGCAGGUGCGAAAGCAGGUCAUAGUGAUCCGGUGGUUCUGAAUGGAAGGGCCAUCGCUCAACGGAUAAAAGGUACUCCGGGGAUAACAGGCUGAUACCGCCCAAGAGUUCAUAUCGACGGCGGUGUUUGGCACCUCGAUGUCGGCUCAUCACAUCCUGGGGCUGAAGUCGGUCCCAAGGGUAUGGCUGUUCGCCAUUUAAAGUGGUACGCGAGCUGGGUUUAGAACGUCGUGAGACAGUUCGGUCCCUAUCUGCCGUGGGCGUUGGAAGAUUGAAGGGGGCUGCUCCUAGUACGAGAGGACCGGAGUGGACGAACCUCUGGUGUUCGGGUUGUGUCGCCAGACGCAUUGCCCGGUAGCUAAGUUCGGAAUCGAUAACCGCUGAAAGCAUCUAAGCGGGAAGCGAGCCCUGAGAUGAGUCUUCCCUGAUACUUUAAGUAUCCUAAAGGGUUGUCGGAGACUACGACGUUGAUAGGUCAGGUGUGUAAGUGCUGUGAGGCAUUGAGCUAACUGAUACUAAUUGCCCGUGAGGCUUAACC
rnacentral:rRNA from 1 species